rnacentral:rRNA from 2 species
UACGAGAGGUCCAAACGUUAUUCGGAAUCACUGGGCUUACAGAGUUCGUAGGCGGUCCGGAAAGUGGGGUGUGAAAGCCCUCGGCUCAACCGAGGAAUUGCGCUCCAAACUACCGGGCUAGAGGAAGAUAGAGGUGAGCGGAACUGAUGGUGGAGCGGUGAAAUGCGUUGAUAUCAUCAGGAACACCGGAGGCGAAGGCGGCUCACUGGGUCUUUUCUGACGCUGAGGAACGAAAGCUAGGGGAGCAAACGGG